UGACUCAGAGGUUAAAGUGUCUGCCUGCAAUGCAGGAGACCUGGGUUCGAUUCCUGG
rnacentral:tRNA from 1 species